rnacentral:rRNA from 1 species
UACAGAGGGGGCAAGCGUUGUUCGGAAUUACUGGGCGUAAAGGGCGCGUAGGCGGCCCGCUAAGUCGAACGUGAAAUCCCCGAGCUCAACUCGGGAACUGCGUCCGAUACUGGCGGGCUUGAAUCCGGGAGAGGGAUGCGGAAUUCCAGGUGUAGCGGUGAAAUGCGUAGAUAUCUGGAGGAACACCAAUGGCGAAGGCAGCUCGCUGGGACGGUACUGACGCUGAGGCGCGAAAGCGUGGGGAGCAAACAGG